rnacentral:rRNA from 1 species
GACCUCGGAUCAGGUAGGGAUACCCGCUGAACUUAAGCAUAUCAAUAAGCGGAGGAAAAGAAACCAACAGGGAUUGCCCUAGUAACGGCGAGUGAAGCGGCAACAGCUCAAAUUUGAAAUCUGGCGUCUUUGGCGUCCGAGUUGUAAUUUGCAGAGGGCGCUUUGGCAUUGGCAGCGGUCCAAGUUCCUUGGAACAGGACGUCACAGAGGGUGAGAAUCCCGUACGUGGUCGCUAGCCUUUACCGUGUAAAGCCCCUUCGACGAGUCGAGUUGUUUGGGAAUGCAGCUCUAAAUGGGAGGUAAAUUUCUUCUAAAGCUAAAUACUGGCCAGAGACCGAUAGCGCACAAGUAGAGUGAUCGAAAGAUGAAAAGCACUUUGGAAAGAGAGUUAAAAAGCACGUGAAAUUGUUGAAAGGGAAGCGCUUGCAGCCAGACUUGCCUGUAGUUGCUCAUCCGGGUUUCUACCCGGUGCACUCUUCUACGGGCAGGCCAGCAUCAGUUUGGGCGGUUGGAUAAAGGUCUCUGUCAUGUACCUCCUCUCGGGGAGAACUUAUAGGGGAGACGACAUGCAACCAGCCCGGACUGA